GGCUUAAUUUGACUCAACACGGGGAAACUUACCAGGUCCAGACAUAGUAAGGAUUGACAGACUGAGAGCUCUUUCUAUUUUUUUGGGUGGUGGUGCAUGGCCGUUCUUAGUUGGUGGAGCGAUUUGUCUGGUUAAUUCCGUUAACGAACGAGACCUCAGCCUGCUAACUAGCUAUGCGGAGGUAUCCCUUCGUGGCCAGCUUCUUAGAGGGACUACGGCCUUUUAGGCCGCGGAAGUUUGAGGCAAUAACAGGUGUCGGUUUGGCCUAUCAUAAAUCGGCCUCCAC
rnacentral:ncRNA from 1 species